rnacentral:rRNA from 1 species
AGUCGGUGGGGAUUGUUGAUCCAACGGGUGAGUAACACGUGGGCCCUCUGCCCUGCCCUCUGGGACCAGCCCGGGAUACGGGGUCUAAUACCGGAUACUGAUCCUCGCAGGCCUCUGCGAGGUUCGAAAGCUCCGUCGGUGCAGGAUGAGCCCGCGGCCUAUCAGCUAGUUGGUGAGGUAACUGCUCACCUCGGCGACUACGGGUAUCCGGCCUGACAGGGUGACCCGCCCCACUGGCUCUGAGACUCGGCCCUUACUCCUACGGGACGCCUAGUGGGGAAUAUUGCACUUUGGGCUAAAGCCUGAUGCAACGACGCCGCGUGAGGGAUGACGGCCUUCGGGUUGCAAACCUCUUUCAAUAUGAAAGAAGCAAAAUUGACGUCACCUGCAGAAGAAGCGCCGGCCCCUAUGUGCAAUGCCCGCGGUAAUACGUAGGGCGCAAGCGUUGUCCGGAAUUAUUGGGCGUAAAGAUCUCAAACGCGGAUUGUCACGGCGGUUGUGAAAGCCCGGGGCUUAUCCCCGGGUCUGCAGUCGAUACGGGUAGGCUAGAGUUCGGUAGGGGAGAUCGAAAUUCCUGGUGUAGCGGUGAAAUGCGCAUAUAUCAAGAGGAACACCGGUGGCGAAGGCGGAUCUCUGGGCCGAUACUGACGCUGAGGAGCAAAAGCGUGGGGAGCGAUCUGGAUUAGAUACCCUGCUAUCACGUCGUAAAUCGGUGGGGUACUAGGUGUGGCCACCAUUCCCACGUUGUUCGCGCCGCAGCUAACCCAUAAAAUUCCCCCGCCUGGGGAGUACGGCCGCAAGGCUAAAACUCAAAAAAAUAAUCGAGGGACCGCACAAGCCGCGGACGCAUGGGGCUUACUUCGACGUAACUUGAAGAACCUUACCAGGGCUUGACUUACACUGGAAAACCCUGGAGACAUGGUCCCCCUGUGCUCGGUGUACAGGUGCUGCAUGGAUGUGCUCAGUUCCUGUCGUGAGAUAUUGUGUUAAGUCGGGCAAAGAGCACAUCCCUUGUCAAUCGUCGCCAUCAGUCCCCAAAAAAUAAAGGAAUCACUGGAAAAAGCGGGGGUCUGGUCGGAGGGAGGAAGGGGGGAGCUAAAGUAAUCAAUCACUAACUGUCUUGGGCUGCACCCGUGCUUCAAUCGUCGUUACAAAGAACUGGGAUCCCGCGAGUUUGGGCGAAUGCAAAAAAGCCGAUCUCAAUUUGGAUUGGGGUUUGCAACUCGGCCCCAUGAAGUCGGAAACGCUAGUUAUUCCAGAUCGACAAUGGUGCGGUGAAUACGUUCCCGGCCUUGACACACCACCUUCACGUCACGAAAGUCGGAACACCCGAAGAAGGUGGUAGAGUCCAUCGUGGACGGA